AGUUUAUAAAAAAUAUUCAGCCCCAAAGAGUCUGAGAAAAUUGGUUCCUUCAUUCACGUUACCACAUGAACAAGAAAUAUGCUCCAGUAAAAAGUGGCUGAGCAAAUUUGGGAUAAAGAAACUGAGACUGGAUUUGCCCAGCCUGAUUUUUGGAAACAAGUGUAUGCACCAGAAGCAAACGGUGGAGUCUCUGCGCAAAACCGUGUCGGCAAAAUACUGCGACAUCUUCGCCAGCGUAGAAAUGCAAGGCGUUGUGAAACACCUGCAGGUUCAGCCGAAGGAUUUGGAAGAGUAUAUUCAGCAGGUGGAGAGACUGCUGCAGUGCUAUGUUAGAAGAAUUCAGUGGCUUCUAUCGGGUAGGUACUCUACUUCAGUUAAUCAGAUAAAAUCAAAGUACAAAGUGCCCCAUGACACCCAGGCUGCCUCCAGAUGGCAAGAGGCAUCAAGGGAUCUAAAAAAAAUCCCAUGAUUGCCCCUUGUCACCUGCUGCCAGACACGAAGGUGAUUAUCGG
rnacentral:lncRNA from 1 species